UUGAACUGAAGAGUUUGAUCCUGGCUCAGAUUGAACGCUGGCGGCAUGCCUUACACAUGCAAGUCGAACGGCAGCACGGGCUUCGGCCUGGUGGCGAGUGGCGAACGGGUGAGUAAUACAUCGGAACAUGUCCUGUAGUGGGGGAUAGCCCGGCGAAAGCCGGAUUAAUACCGCAUACGAUCCACGGAUGAAAGCGGGGGACCUUCGGGCCUCGCGCUAUAGGGUUGGCCGAUGGCUGAUUAGCUAGUUGGUGGGGUAAAGGCCUACCAAGGCGACGAUCAGUAGCUGGUCUGAGAGGACGACCAGCCACACUGGGACUGAGACACGGCCCAGACUCCUACGGGAGGCAGCAGUGGGGAAUUUUGGACAAUGGGGGCAACCCUGAUCCAGCAAUGCCGCGUGUGUGAAGAAGGCCUUCGGGUUGUAAAGCACUUUUGUCCGGAAAGAAAUCCUUGGC
rnacentral:rRNA from 1 species